UCGAGGAUCUUCGGCAAUGGGCGCAAGCCUGACCGAGCGACGCCGCGUGUGCGAUGAAGGCCUUCGGGUUGUAAAGCACUGUCGAGGGGGAGGAAGCCGCAAGGUUGACCUAUCCCUGGAGGAAGCACGGGCUAAGUUCGUGCCAGCAGCCGCGGUAAGACGAACCGUGCAAACGUUGUUCGGAAUCACUGGGCUUAAAGGGCGCGUAGGCGGCUUGCCAAGUCGGGGGUGAAAUACUUCAGCUUAACUGGAGAAGUGCCUUCGAUACUGGCGGGCUCGAGGGAGGUAGGGGCAUGUGGAACUUCUGGUGGAGCGGUGAAAUGCGUUGAUAUCAGAAGGAACGCCGGUGGCGAAAGCGACGUGCUGGACCUCUUCUGACGCUGAGGCGCGAAAGCUAGGGGAGCAAACGGGAUUAGAUACCCCCGUAGUCC
rnacentral:rRNA from 1 species